UACGAAGGGUGCAAGCGUUAAUCGGAAUUACUGGGCGUAAAGCGCGCGUAGGUGGUUCGUUAAGUUGGAUGUGAAAGCCCCGGGCUCAACCUGGGAAUUGCAUUCGAUACUGGCAAGCUAGAGUAUGGGAGAGGAAGGUAGAAUUCCCGGUGUAGCGGUGAAAUGCGUAGAUAUCGGGAGGAACGCCGGUGGCGAAGGCGGCUUCCUGGCCCGUUACUGACGCUGAGGCACGAAAGCCAGGGGAGCGAACCGG
rnacentral:rRNA from 1 species